CCCAACGCCCACGUGUGUGUAAGAGUAUGACACUACAAUGGUCUCGUUUACAGCACAGACAGCCUACUUCACUUGAGCGCCUACAUCAUAAAGGAAGAACCGGCAGAAGACGCUUACGGUCUAUACAUUUCUCACAAGAAUAACCAGACUAUUACUGAAAACAAUGCAAGUGGCUUUAGCAAACAUUCUCAAUCUGUAUAUGAGUAAAAUGAGUAAAAAGCGUUGCCACAACUGAGAUGGUACUUGGCACCCGUUGUAACGAAGGUGGACAAAACGUCAAGGGCAAGAAUUUCUAAGGCGGGUAUAAAAAGGGAGCGCGCGCCUGUCACGGGCGCUCUCGCCCCAGAUUAAAUCCCACGGUUGUCCAAAGCGUUUUGAACCUUUCAAGAUUAGGGAGGGAGCAGACAUGGCCGACUCGCUAAAGAGGCUGGUGAACACAUCUUCCUUCAGCGUUCUACAGGACAAACUUGAGUCCUGGUACAAGGACUACCAUGUCAUCUCCUGUGAUCAGAAUCUGAACAGGUGCUGUGAAUUGGUAGAGCUCACCUCCAAGAUACAGGGUCAACUCUUCACCAUCCUCAACUUCACUGCUAGAGAGGGUGGUCACUAUGCAGGAGUGGAUGUGCUCAAAUCACGCCUGCUGCCUUGGUUGGGGACUUGUUUCUCCAUGGCAACCUCCUCUGUCACCAACGACACCAGCCUCAACCUCAUCCAGGAGUCCGUGGAGAAGGAGAGGAAGAUCAGAGAGCUGUCUGCCUCCCAUGAGAACGACAUGCAGAAGAUGGAGACUCAGCUGUGCUCCACUCACCUACAGCUGGACUCUGUCAAACAGGAACUGGCAGAUGCUCAUCUGCAGCUGGACAACACAAAAAAUAUGUCAGCCACAACUCUGCUGGCCACCGAGGAUGAGAUACUACAGCUGAAAGCAGAGUUGCGUGCGUCCCGUGACCAGGUGGAGACCUAUAAGAGGAAGCUGGAUGUUCUGGAUGACUAUGAGAGACAGGUGCGUCUGCUGAGGGAUGAGGUGUCUUUCCUCACAGCAGAGAAGAGCAUGCUGCAGGAGAGGUUGGUGAGGAGUUGUUCCCCCAGCCCCCUGCCCAGACAGAGCCGCCCCUCCAGCCCUCUGAAGAGUGAGUCUCCCACCCGGGCACAGCUCACCAAUUCGUCCCGCCACGCCAGGCUGGUGUCCCGCUUCAGUGACUUGUAUGCUGUGGAGCGCCUGGAGGCCCAGAGUCUGCUCCGACGCUACAUAGACGACCUGGAGAUGGUCCAGAGAAUCAUCUUCAUUGCCACUGUGGAGGCCUUCCAGGCAGCCAAGCUGGCCUACCGUCAAUUCAAGCUGCGAGUAAAGAAGACCCUGUCACCCUCCCACCUGGGGCCGGAGUCCCUGGAGGACUCGGUGGUGGACUAUAUCGUCAGGAACCUGGACCUCUACGACGUGCAGGCCAGUGUUAAUGACGUGAUCAACGCCAUGAAUGUAAACCCACGGAUCUCCUUCCCCCCGGAGGUGGACUUUGUCCUGAUCAACAGCUUCAUCCGGGAGACAUGCAGAGUGGCCUUCGCCAUGCAGACACUGGACUCUCCUCUGGACCUGGCUUUCACCAGCGGUGGAGAACUCUACAGCGACAACAAGUAUCGUCGUAGCUAUGACUCUGAGUUUACUGCUCCUCUGGUGGCGUACCAUGUGUGGCCAGCACUGGUGGAGGGGGACGGUGUCAUAGUGAAGGGAGAGGCAGUCACCAGGAGAGGAGCUCUGUGGAGGAGCAGAAGCAGGAGCUGCAGUCCUGUUCGCUCUGGCAGCCCCACACGCACUCUUGUAAGUUACUACGACGACUGAGACCUAACACGUUGAAAUAAUGUCACAAAUAUCAAGAAACUCUUUGGAAAGAUGUGUCAGCCCAGGGUUUUUAUGAUGCAAGAAAAUAUUCAGGGAAGUUGCAGUUGGGAAAGCACACUAGAUGAAAGCUGUGCAUGUGUGAUUUAGUGUUAAGACUUUUCUUUUGCCACCAAAAUACAUCCAUGCAUACCCUGAGCCCUUGGGGGGUUUAGUCGCAGCAGAAGCCCCUCUCCCGGACGUCUCUCCGCCAGUCGCCUGUAAACCCUAACUGACCACUGAGUUACAAAAGGAAAACAAAAUUCUACACAUCGAUUUCAUGUUUGCAACAAAGACAGAUCUAUAGCUUUAAUGGACUGGAUCCUGUCGUUAUUUGUCAGUUGUGAUGACUUGAUGUUAAGUAGUUAGACUCCGUGUCAAUAUGGACAUUGGUCCAGGGUUUACAGUAUUCUGGAGAGAAGUUCCAUGUUACCAUUACAGUAUCCAGAGACUCUGGCAGCUGGUCCUUUCAGAACAAUCCUUUCAGGGUGCUGUAGCAGCACAUGACAAGGCUGUGUGUGUGUGUGUGUGUGUGUGUGUGUGUGUGUGUGUGUGUGUGUGUGUGUGUGUGUGUGUGUGUGUGUGUGUGUGUGUGUGUGUGUGUGUGUGUGUGUGUGUGUGUGUGUGUGUGUGUGUGAGUGUGUGUGCGCGCAUGUGUUUAAUCUAUGCCCAUUAUCUUAGUGAUUCUUAACUUUGCACUAUGCAAAACCAGGAUGAUUGUGUGGUUGACCGUAAUGUAACUUUUUAAGGACAUUUAGAACCUGCACAGUAUAAUUUUCUGAGACUGUUGUAGUUUCGGUUUUAUCUUUAACCUCAAACCUUGAUAGACUCUGGGUUAUAAAUAAUAUAAUGAAUACAUUUUAAUGUAAUUUUAAUGUAAGUCUUAGCCUGCUUUUUUGUUGGUAGAUUUUUUGUUGUUGUAAGACACAUGGUGCUAAAGUUCAGUCAGAACUGUUCAACUCCACAAAAAACACGAGAGAUUGGUAUUGCUGAGAACAAUGAUUAAGCGUACAGUUUGUAAAGUCAUCCGUUCCAGUCCAUGUUUCUUUUUUUUGGUGUUGUGAUAUUAGCUAGAUGUGUGGUUUGGAUGGAUUUGGAACAAUAGAAGGGAUUUAAAAUGAUACAAAACAUAUUCUGUAACUUCAAAUGGUUGACUUGAGAAAAGAUGCCUUUUUUUGUUAGUCCUAAUGAAGUUGCUUAUUAUCUACUGUACGCACAAGAUCCAAAAGCAAUAUAUAACAUAUUUAGGAUAAUUGUUAGGCUGUAAUCAAUUAAAUGUGGAGCCUAACUAUUAUUCACUAUUUUAAAUCAUUAUACAGUCUAAUCUUUCAUUUUGCAUUAAACAGUGUGUUAGUGUUGUGUAUGCAAAACGUGGUGAUAAACCCAAAAAACUUGGACUCAAAUAUAUAUAAUGUAAUUGUGCUGUUCUUGUUACAGAAUACAAAAAACUAAAUUAUUUCCAGAGAGAUUGUGCCUUUUUAAAGAUAAAAUAAAUAAAUAAAAUCAGAAAAAAGGUUACUAUUAAUUUCUUGUGAUAAUGAAGGCUAAUUUAAUUAUUGUCUUCCUUACCCUCAUCCACU